CGAGGCUUACACAUGCAGUCGAGGGGUAACAGAUCUUCGGAUGCUGACGACCGGCGAACGGGUGAGUAACACGUAUGCAACUUACCCAUAACUCGGGAAUAGCCCAAAGAAAUUUGGAUUAAUACCCAAUAAUACAGGCGUACCGCAUGGUAUUCUUCGUUAAAGAAUAAUCGGUUAUGGAUAGGCAUGCGUUCUAUUAGGUAGUUGGUGAGGUAACGGCUCACCAAGCCGACGAUGGAUAGGGGAACUGAGAGGUUGUCCCCCCACACUGGUACUGAGACACGGACCAGACUCCUACGGGAGGCAGCAGUGAGGAAUAUUGGUCAAUGGACGAAAGUCUGAACCAGCCAAAUCGCGUGAAGGAAGAAGGUAUUAUGUAUCGUAAACUUCUUUUGUAAGAGAGUAAAGUGCACUACGUGUAGUGUAUUGCAAGUACCUUACGAAUAAGCAUCGGCUAAUUCCGUGCCAGCAGCCGCGGUAAUACGGAAGAUGCAAGUGUUAUCCGGAUUUAUUGGGUUUAAAGGGUGCGUAGGUGGUCUAAUAAGUCAGUGGUGAAAUCUCUUUGCUUAACAAGGAAAUUGCCAUUGAAACUGUUAGACUUGAGAAUGGACGAGGUAGGCGGAAUUCGUAGUGUAGCGGUGAAAUGCAUAGAUAUUACGAAGAACUCCAAUAGUGUAGACUGCUUACCAGACCAUAUCUGACACUAAGGCACGAAAGUGUGGGUAUCAAACAGGAUUAGAUACCCUGGUAGUCCACACAGUAAACGAUGAAUACUAACUGUUUGCGAUAUACAGCAAGUGGUCGAGCGAAAGCGUUAAGUAUUCCACCUGGGAAGUAUGCCGGCACGGUGAAACUCAAGGAAUUGACGGGGCCCGCACAAGCGGAGGAACAUGUGGUUUAUCGAUAUACGCGAGAACCUACCCGGGCUCGACGAUAUUUGAUACAUCCGAAGAUGUAGCU
rnacentral:rRNA from 1 species